GACGAGCCGUCCAAACGUUAUUCGGAAUCACUGGGCUUACAGAGUUCGUAGGCGGUCUGGUAAGUUAGAUGUGAAAUCCCUCGGCUCAACCGAGGAACUGCGUUUGAUACUGCCAGACUCGAGGGAGAUAGAGGAAAGCGGAACAGAUGGUGGAGCGGUGAAAUGCGUUGAUAUCAUCUGGAACACCGGUGGCGAAGGCGGCUUUCUGGGUCUCUUCUGACGCUGAGGGACGAAAGCUAGGGUAGCGAACGGG
rnacentral:rRNA from 1 species